UGAGCUCCUGGCUGGAGAAUUCGCUCACAAGGGUGAUGUGAUCAUCUUACGUGUAAAAGAAAACCGAAUUUCACUUCUGGUGGUGACUAUUGUCUGAUUCAUCAUUACAGUAACCACCCAAGGAAACCCUGCCCACAAAAAGCAUUCUUCUGGAGAAGUAACAGUUUUUGGUGACACACAUGAUGGCAACAAUGAACGCUUUGUGGCACGAUGACCUCUAUGAAAAAGAGAGAUAUACAGGUUUUGCUUUUGUUCACUCAACUAAUUACCAACCUUUCAUUAUACCUCUACUCGGACAUCUAAACUUCAGUUAAGCUCUAUGUUUAAGUGGGAUGGAUCUUCAAUUUGCCUACCUAAGGAUUUGAAGUCAGGUUUACAGAGGCAUCAUUUUACAAUUAUCAACUUUGAUAAAUGCAGAUUGUCAUGGAACUACCACCAGAAUCCAGAUAGAGAACAUGCUAUCAUCCCUGUUAUAUCCC
rnacentral:lncRNA from 10 species